UUUUAAGAAACAACCUAGUGUUUUAUCUUCUUUGACUUCCAGCACUCUCUCCUGUGAGAUGUCCAUAUGGACAGGCUCAGUAGGUACCUGGUGGUAGGGCCUAGUGCAACCAGCAUAUACCCUCAUCUCUGGCUUGAACCCCAGACUGUCAGGUAUUGGAUGGGAAAUUGUUUUAAGGGCAGAUAACCAAACAGAAGGGCAGCCUUCAGAACAGAUGGAAAGCUCAGCACCAAGAGGGAACCAUUAGAGAAAUCAAGCAUAGCAUAAGGAUUGUCUCAAAUCUUGUGUUCAGGAAUCUGUAAACCUCAGACCACCACAUCAAGGGAAAUAAAGCGAACCUUUCACUUGGUGACAAGACUUUAUAGAACAUCACUACACAAGUUGCUCUAAGAUCAUCAUGCAGGUGCAGGGGGCUCCUUGAACAAAUUAUUCAAGAAUAAGGAGGACUCUGCUGGAUUCAACUUCUUCCUGAAUGCUUCUCCCAUUCCAAGACUGGUUUAGUCUACCCUGCCACCUGCUUUCAAUGAAAUACCUUCAACUUUUCCAUCAUAACUGACCUCCCCCCCC